CACAAGUCUUCUGAAAAUAAAAGUCCACACAGUUCAUAAACUUCUGAAAUUUAAAAUUUCACACAGUUCGGAAAUUCAAACAUAGAUCUAUUUUAGAAAUUCCCCAUGUCUCCUUUUCCCCGCAGAUCUCUCAUCUUCUAAGCAUUUUCAGAACCAUCUGCUAAUUCAUCUGAAAUAGUUUCUGCUCCCGUAUAAUAUCACACAUUAUACGAUCAUUGCAUUCACAUACACAAACACAGACAAUAGGGUGAGCUAACCGAUUCAAGAAAUAUACAUCAUCCACAAUCUUACUAACAUCACAAGUGUGGCAAUCAGUCAAAUACAUGCAUCUCAAACAUACUCAAAAACCAACUAUUACACUGAUACUUUAUAAUAUUUCUCCAGUUAAAAUCAUCAGUCGAUUCACUAGAGUCAAUACAACAUAUUAUUAAUCUGCCUACUUACCAAAGCACAGCAGUCAACAAUCCUUCUGUCUACUUACCAAAGUAGUAUAACCAUGAUAUACUGAUUACUUACCAAAGUAAUCUAACGAGGUGAUCUACUUACCAAAGUAGUAUAACAAGGUGAUAUUGUCUACUUACCAAAGUAGCACAAUAAUGUAAUAUUAUCUACUUACCAAAGUAGCAUAGCGUGGAACACUCCGCCUACUUACCAAAGCAGUGCGGUUUAUGUCAAGUUCACCUCUCAUUUUUCCACCUACUUACCAAAGUAGUGUCCGACUUCAAACCUCUCCUCUCCCGACUUACCAAAGUCGUAGGAAAAUAAAUAAAAAUUCAGACUUACAAUUAUGGCAAUAAUGUCUAUACCACCCAUCCAAAUUUACCAUCAACUUAUUUACAAUUCAUGAUUUAAC
rnacentral:sRNA from 1 species